rnacentral:rRNA from 1 species
GAUCAUGGCUCAGAUUGAACGCUGGCGGCAGGCUUAACACAUGCAAGUCGAGCGGAAACGAAGAUAGCUUGCUAUCAGGCGUCGAGCGGCGGACGGGUGAGUAACGCGUAGGAACCUACCUAAUAGUUUGGGAUAGCCCAGAGAAAUUUGGAUUAAUACCGGAUACGCCCUACGGGGGAAAGCAGGGGAUCUUCGGACCUUGCGCUAUUAGAUGGGCCUGCGUGAGAUUAGCUAGUUGGUGAGGUAAUGGCUCACCAAGGCGACGAUCUCUAGCUGGUCUGAGAGGAUGAUCAGCCACACUGGAACUGAGACACGGUCCAGACUCCUACGGGAGGCAGCAGUGGGGAAUAUUGCACAAU